GAAUGCAUCCCCGUCCACCAGUUUGCGUCCUCUGUUUUGGGGACAAAAAGGGGAUCGGGAUCAAGGGAGCAAGUGGAGUUGGGUGGGCGGCGGCGGCGGAGAGCUUCUCCGAUUUGCGACGGCGCGACCAUGGCUAUGGAGUUUCCCGUCUCUCCGGUAGACAAGCUGCCAAUCUUCCCCGACGAGGCGGCAAGCGAUGCGGCCCUAAUGGAGUUGAUUGGUGCCGCCGGCGGCGGAGACGAUGAAUCGGCCAAUGGAUCCCGCGGGGGUUUGGUCGGCGGAGUUGGCCAUGGGUCAUAUGAGCAGAUCCUGAACGGAGGGAUGCGCAGUGAGGAGAGAACUGUAGCUGGUGGUGGCGCCGCCGUGCCUGGGUUCAGCGAGAGCGAGGGUGACAAUGAAGAAGCUCUUGACCAGGCGGAGCUAGGAGCAUACUUUGAUGAAGACCAGGAAGCUGUAAUUCAGGAUCGAACUCACAGUGCUGAUGGAGGUUCUGCUCAAUCCACAGGCAAGGUGGAUCCGCAAGCACCUGGCUGAGCAAAGAGAAUAAGAGUUGGCAAUCAACCACCGGGCAGAGCUCCAUGCCCGGAAAGGGUAGGCGUGCUUGAGCAGACUAUCAGGGGCUAUGCUGAUAAAUUAGGCGACCAUGUAGUUGAGCCUGCCAUUGGAUUAACUUUCGAUUCUUUGUGCGAAUCAUAUGAUUUUUAUAACCUAUAUUCCUGGGAGCAUGGUUUCGGAAUGCGGUACGGCAAAAGCCGCCUGAAUGCAGAGAAGACAAAGUGUAUGCAGGAAGUGGUUUGCGGCUGUUCGGGCAAACCGACAAAGGAGAACAGCAGGUCCUGUCGCUGUGAGUGUCCGGCCAUGAUUAGUCUGCUUAGAACAUCAGAUAAUGGCUGGUACAUUACAGAACACAGAGCAAACCGCAAACCAUGCUUUGACGCAGACAUGUGGGGAGAAGGUAAAUUGGCCACAUGGUGAAGGUACGAGAAACAACCAUUUUGUGUAAGUUUUUCGUGUGUGUUGGAUUGAGCUGCCGGUUUGUUCUAUGAUCUAGGUUAUGGGUGUUCUAGGCUAUACCGGGAUACCAGAAACUCUGAUACUCAAGAGGUGGACACAGGAUGCAAGGGAUGUUUUGCCGCCACACCUGAGGGUGUACCAGCGGGAUCAUGCUGGGGCCAGGACGAUGACAAAUCGGCACACAACACUUUAUGUGCACGCGAUGGAAUUGGUACAACUAGGGGAUGCAUCAGUGGAAGCAUAUGAGAAAGGAAUGAAGGUGAUCAGAGAUGGCAUUGCUGCUCUAGCUGAGUACGAGGAACAGAGGGAUGGACUGGGUCUUGAAGACAGGCCUGUAGAACAACGAUAUGCAGCUGAGCAGACAAAUGAACAAAUACGAGAUGAAGAGCGUGCUGCGGGUGUCGUGUAGGUGGACACUCUGGUUGGUCUUAGGGCACCAGAAAAGAAAAGAAAACAAAGGCGACCGACAAACAGCCGCGAGAAAGCGCCAUAUGAAGAGCUUAGCAAGCGUACUCGGUUUUGUAGCAUCUGCAAGAGGCAAAGGACACAAGAAGACAAGCUGUCAGGAGAGAGGCGACUUGCCUUAAGAAGCUGCGGAAAGAGGCGAGGUGUAGUAAUUGUGGUGUGGCCGGGCACAGGAAGAAUACUUGCACCGAUGCAGCAGCUGUGAAGCUUCAGACUGCACCUAGUUAGCUCUGAUAGAUUUAAAAAUAAAAAUUGUUUCUUGAUCAGUGUUUCCGAUGUAUUAUAACCUUAUUUGUGGAGUAGGUAGGGGCGGGGUGGAUCUUUGUUCUAGACAAUUAUAAUUAAUUUUGGGUUUUCCAAUAUGUGCUACACAUGAAGAUAAAUCUUUUUUUAGGGAAAA